GGAGCUGAAGCCAGUCGAAGAUACCAGCUGGCUGCAACUGUUUAUUAAAAACACAGCACUGUGCAAACACGAAAGUGGACGUAUACGGUGUGACGCCUGCCCGGUGCCGGAAGGUUAAUUGAUGGGGUUAUCCGUAAGGAGAAGCUCUUGAUCGAAGCCCCGGUAAACGGCGGCCGUAACUAUAACGGUCCUAAGGUAGCGAAAUUCCUUGUCGGGUAAGUUCCGACCUGCACGAAUGGCGUAAUGAUGGCCAGGCUGUCUCCACCCGAGACUCAGUGAAAUUGAAAUCGCUGUGAAGAUGCAGUGUACCCGCGGCAAGACGGAAAGACCCCGUGAACCUUUACUAUAGCUUGACACUGAACACUGGUCCUUGAUGUGCAGGAUAGGUGGGAGGCUUUGAAGCGUGGACGCCAGUCUGCGUGGAGCCAUCCUUGAAAUACCACCCUUUAAUGGCUGGUGUUCUAACGUUGACCCGUUACCCGGGUUGCGGACAGUGUCUGGUGGGUAGUUUGACUGGGGCGGUCUCCUCCUAAAGCGUAACGGAGGAGCACGAAGGUUGGCUAAUCCUGGUCGGACAUCAGGAGGUUAGUGCAAUGGCAUAAGCCAGCUUGACUGCGAGCGUGACGGCGCGAGCAGGUGCGAAAGCAGGUCAUAGUGAUCCGGUGGUUCUGAAUGGAAGGGCCAUCGCUCAACGGAUAAAAGGUACUCCGGGGAUAACAGGCUGAUACCGCCCAAGAGUUCAUAUCGACGGCGGUGUUUGGCACCUCGAUGUCGGCUCAUCACAUCCUGGGGCUGAAGUAGGUCCCAAGGGUAUGGCUGUUCGCCAUUUAAAGUGGUACGCGAGCUGGGUUUAGAACGUCGUGAGACAGUUCGGUCCCUAUCUGCCGUGGGCGCUGGAGAACUGAGGGGGGCUGCUCCUAGUACGAGAGGACCGGAGUGGACGCAUCACUGGUGUUCGGGUUGUCAUGCCAAUGGCACUGCCCGGUAGCUACAUGCGGAAGAGAUAAGUGCUGAAAGCAUCUAAGCACGAAACUUGCCCCGAGAUGAGUUCUCCCUGAGACU
rnacentral:rRNA from 1 species